GAUGAAAAUUUUUAAAUUAUUUUGAUACAAUAAUUAGUUAAAUUUAUUAUUUAAUUUCAUUA
rnacentral:tRNA from 1 species